UACGAAGGGUGCAAGCGUUACUCGGAAUUACUGGGCGUAAAGCGUGCGUAGGUGGUGAGUUAAGUCUGUCGUGAAAGCCCCGGGCUCAACCUGGGAAUGGCGAUGGAUACUGGCUCGCUAGAGUGCGGUAGAGGAGAGUGGAAUUCCUGGUGUAGCGGUGAAAUGCGCAGAUAUCAGGAGGAACACCAAUUGCGAAGGCAGCUCGCUGGGACGUUACUGACGCUGAGACGCGAAAGCGUGGGGAGCAAACAGG
rnacentral:rRNA from 1 species